GAGAGUGAGUCUUAAUCAAGGCCAAUACCGAAUGGUUGUGAAUUUGGGAUGAAAGCGAAAGAUAAGAAAGAGGCGUUAAAGCAUACAAUUUUGAAAAUCAUUCAAAAGUCCAAAAUUUGACAAUCCAAAACUCAUUACCUAUAACUUUUAAUGAAUUUAAUAUAUUGCAUGUAUUAGUAGUUGUAGUUGUAUAUGUAGUUUAAUAACAUGUAACUCACAAAAGUAUAAAAAUCGUUUAGAAAUAUAAAAUAUUAUAUUGAAUAGAUUAGAUUUUUUUAUACCGAUUUUAUCAUAAUCAUUUUAUAAAUAUU